rnacentral:rRNA from 1 species
UCGUAGUCGGAGGUGUGUCUCGGACGGUCGGUUCGCCGCUUGUCGGUGCUCAACUGGCCGGUCCGGACGUCCUGCCGGUGGGGCCGCGAGGCUCCGUUAUCCUUCUUUGGUCCUCUUCACCGAGUGCCUUGGUGGGCCGGCACGUUUACUUUGAACAAAUUAGAGUGCUCAAAGCAGGCCGUUGGUCGCCUGAAUACUGUGUGCAUGGAAUAAUGGAAUAGGACCUCGGUUCCAUUUUGUUGGUUUUCAGAACUCGAGGUAAUGAUUAAUAGGGACGGACGGGGGCAUUCGUAUUGCGACGUUAGAGGUGAAAUUCUUGGAUCGUCGCAAGACGAACCGAUGCGAAAGCAUUUGCCAAGAACGUUUUCGUUGAUCAAGAACGAAAGUUAGAGGUUCGAAGGCGAUCAGAUACCGCCCUAGUUCUAACCAUAAACGAUGCCAGCUAGCCAUCCGCCGAAGUUCCUUCUAUGACUCGGCGGGCAGCUUCCGGGAAACCAAAGCUCUUGGGUUCCGGGAGAAGUAUGGUUGCAAAGCUCAAACUUAAAGGA